GAUGAAUGCUGGCGGCGUGCCUAACACAUGCAAGUCGAGCGGCAGCGCGUCUAGUUUACUAGAUGGCGGCGAGCGGCGGACGGCUGAGUAACGCGUGGGAACGUGCCCCAAAGUGAGGAAUAACUGCCCGAAAGGGUAGCUAAUGCCGCAUAUGGUCUUCGGAUUAAAGUAUUUAUACGCUUUGGGAGCGGCCCGCGUCGGAUUAGGUUGUUGGUGAGGUAAUGGCUCACCAAGCCGACGAUCCGUAGCUGGUCUGAGAGGAUGAUCAGCCAGACUGGAACUGAGACACGGUCCAGACUCCUACGGGAGGCAGCAGUGAGGAAUCUUCCACAAUGGGCGAAAGCCUGAUGGAGCAACGCCGCGUGCAGGAUGAAGGCCUUCGGGUCGUAAACUGCUUUUAUAAGUGAAGAAUAUGACGGUAACUUAUGAAUAAGCACCGGCUAACUACGUGCCAGCCGCCGCCGUAA
rnacentral:rRNA from 1 species